GAUCAUGGCUCAGGAUGAACGCUGGCGGCGUGCUUAACACAUGCAAGUCGAACGGAGUUUUAAACAGAAGUUUUCGGAUGGAAGUUUAGAAACUUAGUGGCGGACGGGUGAGUAACGCGUGGGUAACCUGCCUCAUACAGGGGGAUAACAGUUAGAAAUGACUGCUAACACCGCAUAAUAUAGCGAAACCGCAUGAUUUUUGCUAUCAAAUAUUUAUAGGUAUGAGAUGGGCCCGCGUCUGAUUAGCUAGUUGGUGGGUAAAGGCCUACCAAGGCGACGAUCAGUAGCCGGCUUGAGAGAGUGACCGGCCACAUGGGACUGAGACACGGCCCAAACUCCUACGGGAGGCAGCAGUGGGGAAUAUUGGACAAUGGGGGAAACCCUGAUCCAGCCGACGCCGCGUGAGUGAAGAAGUAUUUCGGUAUGUAAAGCUCUAUCAGCAGGGAAGAUAAUGACAGUACCUGACUAAGAAGCCCCGGCUAACUACGUGCCAGCCGCCGC
rnacentral:rRNA from 1 species